UCUUUCCUAGGGUUCUGCUAACCGACCUCCAUCCUCCACCCCUUAGGACUAAAGAGGUGGCAAACCCCGUUCUCUCAUGGAAUAAGUACAAAUCUCGGAACUUCUCUGAGCUUUAUUGGCCUCAUCUACAAGUAGAGCGGAUGAGGUCCACCGUACCGGGGUGCUAGACAUUAGUGUUAACUUUCUUGACUCCAGGACUAGAAGGUGUUUAACUGGUUGUCCCCUUCCCUGCCGGCUUCGGCGUACUCCCAGGGCCUUCUCGGAGUACCAGGCUACAGGGGUGAUUUGGCAGGAGCCGGUGAGCAAGGUAGCAAAGGGCUGUGAGCCAGCUCUUCCCCAAGCCCUCUUUCAGCCCAGGACUUGAGGUUUGGAGUUGGACCUUAAGUUACGAGGUUCUAAUUUGGACUUGGCUGCCUCAGAACUCAGCCCAGGGUUUUUAUUCCUGUAGCUUUAAGAUAUUUUGCCUUUGAGCAUUCAGAACCCAAUAGCAGCUGGUAUCGGUGGGAAACGGGCCAGCUCUGUUUUACUCCGUGUGCUCACUUCACUUUCACUCAGGCUGCAGAGGGUAACUAACUGGCUGCUGCCAGCCAAGCGUUGACCUUUGUGGGGGCAGGGUAGAGCAGGAUUUCUGUGAAGUCCAGAUCCAUUUACUUCCCCCAAAGAGAGAACGAGUUCUCCUGAUCGUUUUUGUCAAGGAGCUCAUAUUCUACAUGAUUUAUGAUAACAGUAAUAAAAGUAAGUUUUGUCCAUUAAACACCCACUACCUGCCAGUUAGUUCAAGCAGUUUAAAUUUGCUGCUUUCUUCCCACAACCAUCUUGAGAGGCAUACAUUUUUACCUAGACUUCACACAGGAGGAAAUAAUCCCAGAAAGUCUCCGUGUCUUGCUUGGGGCACACAGACAGCUGGAAAGUGACCUUAAGUCUGUGUUACAUUCCUUUGUGUUUUCUGCACUCUGGCAAACUUUCCCUCAAAGCCUUGGUUAUCUGCUUGGGAAGUGGUGCUGAUGGCGUGGCUGUUAUUCUCUUGUUCCUGUAUUCAGAAACUCCCAGACUUAGGACUUUGUGUAAAUAUGUCUCUUUUGCCCAAGGGUCCUGUGUAUCUUCUGCCUUCUGGCUUAGGAGGCUAAUUUUCUACUUAGGUUAAUAAAUAGCACGUAAAGAUCUGUUCUUGUUAAUGCCUCUGCUUGCAAGCCAUCCUCAGCGUCCUCUUUGCCUGAGAGAAGGGAUGUUUCACAGUCCAGACACAGCCUCAUCAUACUGGAAGCUCAGUUGGGAAGGCCUGGGUUAUGCUACCUAAACCCAUCAUCCCAGAGGCUGUAGUCAGUGAAAGAUUGUUUCUUGCUCCUUCUCACUACUUGCCCACUGUGGCUGUGCAGGGAACUCUGUCCACUGUCCUGCUUCUCACUAGUAGUGACUAAAGGGGGAACUCAGCUAAGUUCUGACUGGCUCUCAGUGUAUCCACCUGGAAAUGGCACCUUCUUUGCUCAUAUGCUGCUGGCCAAAGCGAGUCACGAGGCCAUGCCUGAGACGAGAGUCUGAAAGGGGUCCUUCCUGCCUUCUUUCCUUCUUCAGGGGAUACAGCCCCAACAACCCUUCAGUUACAGCAUGAAGUUCACAUCCGGGCUUUGAGAGGUAAUGUAUAGAGACAUCAGGUCCAGGUGUGUGUCUUCUCUGAGGGAGCGCUAGCUACCCUGCACCACAUUCAGUUUGUAUGGUGAGGCAGAGACUGAAGUUCUGCUUUGGAAGGGAAAGAACCGAGGUCACAGUAGAUACCAGCCCCUGAGUGUUUUCAGGACCCCUCUCCAUCCACUCCUGCAAUUAGGGCCUGGUUCUGCUUGUAUGACCGCUUUCUUUGACCCUGGGUUUGCCCUCAGUCUUCCAAAGACUUAAUGAAGGCCCUGGGCUUUAAAAAAAUAUAAGGGAUCCAUUGUUUAAGUGUUGAAGAUGGUCUUUUGUAAUGCCGGUUAGUUGUAAUUCCCAUACAAGUAGAAUACCAGGUAUGCCGUGUGCCAGUAGCCACAGCAACUGUUCUCUUCUGGUCCCAUUCCAGUGGUUUGCCCUGUUUCUCUGCUUUCUUACUCUUCUGCCUCCUGUUCUACUCAUCUCUUUCUUCUUGCUUUUGGCUUUGUUUUGGGUAUGUUAGGCUUAGAAGAUGGGAAAGUUGUGCCUUUCUUUUCCUCUCCAGUGCUGAAUGAACAUAUUAGGUACUAUCCUAGUGUGUACUGAGGGGUUGGUUUGGUUAGUUCAAGAUAGAGUCUUGUUACAGCCCAGGCUGGCCUUGAAGGCAACCAUCCUGCUCUAACUCCCAAACACUGAGGUCUUCACCAUCAUGUUCUGUGUAUCUUGAGAAUUUUAACAAUAGGUUCUUACCCCUUGAACAGAUCCUUGCUUCAAGGCUGACUUCUCCAGGCCCUUCCCUAAUUUAUUUUAUUUUGUUGGGAUUGCCUCUGUUCAACCUUCAAACCCCCAAAUUUUGGGAUUUUUCUCUUCCCUUUUGUUCUUACCUAUGAUGUGGCCACAUCUACCUUGAGCACAUUUCGGUAGCCACCUCCAAAUGCUCCUGACCUGAUGUUCCAACCUCUUGCUUUCUCUCCUUAGGUUCUGUUGUAAGGCACUGUCCAUAAGAUCAGUUGUACCUACUUGAGAAAGAUCAUCACAGUUGGGUGUGUGGACUGUUGACAUCCCCUACCUCAAAGGAGGGAUAGACAGUGUCAUGGACCCUCACCAGAGUAUCCAGUCAAUCAUUCCUGCCACCUAUGCACCUACUUGGAUUUGGCCAUAGGGUCUCAGGGGGUGGAUAGAUUACAUAGGUUGGGGAAGAUGUGGGGAAAGAGUCUCCAUCUGCACAGCCCCAGGGGAGCUAUCAUCUAUGCUGGUGCAGACCUUGCAGCUCAACUGCUUCAGAGUCUCCCACAAUCCUGCCUAUAGCUCUCCAUCGUGUUCUAUGAGAAAGCCUAAUGAACUCAUUGGUUCCCCUGGUGAAAUUUGGUAAAAUCAAACUUUGUUGGUGGGCCCUUAGAAGUCAGAGAUAGGUGCUACUUAGUCCCUCCCACCUCCACUACCUCAUCACUCACCCAGGGGGGAAAUUCUGGUGACAGGUUCAUGAUCUGUCUCUUAAUUUAUGACAGGUGAGGUUUGCCAAAAAGAUCACUAUCCUUUCAGCCUGUGUUCUUAGGUGUUGUCCAGUCUAGAUGAAUGUCUGGCUUUUAUGUUUAUUGGUUUUAUUGUGUUACCCCAUGCUGUGUUUUAAAUGAGUCAGGUCAAGUGCAGUUAUACUGCUAAAACAAAUAACCCUAAAAAAUCUUAGUAGCUUAUAAAGAAAUUGACUUCUUUCUCAUUGUGUAUGACCAGUUUCAGAAGGGCUGUGCUUAAUGUGUUUACCUAAUCUGUAGAAGGAUUAAUCUUGAAUCGUGCUUCCAGAAUCAUCAUCAUCAUCUUGGUGGGGAAAGAAUGCAUGAAUCCAUGCCUACUUUAAGAGCUUUUUUCAAGUGUGAUGCACAUUAUUGAAUUCAUAGACUAGAAACUGAUAGGAGUCACAUGACUCAUGCCUUAAAGGGUACAGGGACAUGCAGUCCCACUGUAUGCCUGAAAGUCAGGAGCUUGACGUGCCCACUUCUGUCUAGGCUAGAUUAUUGUUGGGGAAGCCAUCCAUAAGUCUUCCUGGAUUAUAGCCCCAGGGUUAUUUCCCACUGGUGCUACGUGUCUACAGAAGUCAGCUCUGUCUGUACUUGUACACAUAUGUGGGUUCUGGGACCCUGGCCAACAGCAUCUUUAUUCUAAACAUUGCUGAGAGCAAAGAGUACACAAAUCUUAAAGCUUCUUCUGAAAGCAGUUCACGUGGUCAAGCCUGACGUCACAGGGGAAGGGAAGCAAAUAUUUGUAAAUAGAGAUGCAAUCCACCACACCCUACAAUCCACAUUCCGUCCAUUCCUCAGAGUCUCAGCCACUCCACUUAAUAUCCCUCCUUCUAUAUAUUUUUAUUCUUAAUCAAAAUGUGAACUGGCCUAAGACAUGGCUCAGUGACUUAAGGCGCUUGCUCCCAAGCCUGACAACUUGAAUGCAAUCAUUAAGACCCAAAUGGUAGAAGGAGAGAAUGGACUCCUUCAAAUUAUCAUCUGACCUACACACACAAUAAAGUAAAUACACACACACACACACACAAUAAAAUAAAUGUAAUUUUAUAUGAACUGUUCAUUUUUCAAGAGUCAGAUCAAAUAAUCACUCCCCUGAAAGCUUUCCCUACCAAUCUCCCAACCACAGUGGGUAUGUACCUGGAAGAGAGAAUGCCUAUCACUUUUGAAUGUCUUCUUCAAUCACUGACUCAAAACCCAGAAACAGUGUUGUUCUUAUUUUGUAUCUCUCUGUGCUUACUAAGUACCUGGCACAUGGAAGGAUAAAGGAUGCGUGGUAAAAGCUUAUUGUUGGAUUUUUUAAAAAAGCCUUUGCACAUGGAAUUAUGGAAUAUUUCAAUAGCGAAGUAGAAAUUUUACCUGGACUUAAUUCAUCAUAUUGGAUCAUGGCAAAUUCCCUACCUGGAUGGGUUAGCCUGGGCUUUUCUUCCUGCACUUCUCUGUCUUUGCCAACUUCUUUCCUCUGUCUCUCUAGGCUGCUACACCCUCCCCUCCCUGCAGCCUCUCUCCUCAUACCUUCCUUCUGCAUCUGGUCUUCUCCAGCCACACCGUCCACUGCUGAAUCAGUUGCACUACAACUAAGAAUCAGUUUCUAAACUUGAGUGACUUGUUACAAAAGGUUUUCUUACUCUUGCUUCAUGUCUGUCAAGGCUGGCAGGGUCUCUAAUAAUAUCACCUUCCUCUGGGACGCAAGCUGGUAGACUGCCCACUUCUAGGAACCUAAACCUCUCUUGAUAGAGGGGAAGAGAGAUUUGAAGACUCGUGUCUGAACAAUUAUAUGCCUUUGCUUUAAAAUGUUACAUGUCACUUCUCACAGUUUCAUUGGCUAAAACUAGUCUCGUGGCCCACUCAGCCAUCAGGAAAGCAGGAAAAACAAAGAGCUGGUAGUAUUUGGUGACCAGUCAUAAUGAUUCCCACUCUGGUCUUGGUUCCCCAAAAGUGACAAGCUAUUUGUUCCCCUAAGACUCUUUAUAUGAUACCGCCACCCAAAUUCCCUGGUCCUCAACUGAUUUCUCUUUUUCUUUGGAUAUUUGUUUAGAUGAUGAAGCAUUCUGUGGCUUCCCUAAUGUGUUCACCUCCCACCUAAAUUAUCAUCAGCCGCGCCCCUCCCCCCAUUUACAAACUCUUCAAAAGUCCCUAUAAUUUCCCCUCCUUUCUUUGCUUUUUGAGUGUAGAGCCAGAUGAAAGUGAGACCCAGGAAUCAGAUGGACAGGGCAAGAGAUAGAUUCCCAACUGAAGGACAGGUCAGGUACAAAGCCACAUCAGGCCUCUUGGUGCUUUACCACUGACUUGUUGGGCCUGGGUGAGUAGAUAGAAAGGGAUUCCUAAGGGACUGGGUAGCCUUGCUUAAAUUGCCUUGGAAGUGAGAGUAAACUGCUGAGGUAAGUAUGCUUGGGUCCUUCUGCACUCGGCCAUUUGCUAGCUCACUUUCCUGUCCAUGAAGAGUGAGAAGGCAUUGAGAUGUGACGAAAAGGACCUCUACCAGGUGUCCUGUAGUGGAAAGCUGAGGCCAGGAUGAUGGUGAUUUCCUCUUAGCAAUGAAAUUUGUUAUUCUGCAUUUCUUUGUAUAAUUGUGUAUUUCUGAUUUUUCUCCUGAGAUCUCUUUAACCUAACCCAGCAGAGGCCAAGCAUUGAGAAUGCAGCAGGAAAUAGUGACUUUGGUGUCUGUAGUAUGCUGAGCAGCUAGCAUGGUGUUGGACACAGAGAGUGUUAAGUAGAUCUUGGUGAUUCAUCAGUGCUCCUGUGUUGUUGGUUUCGGGCAAGAAGGUCUGUAUGACUGGCAGUCACUAUUGCCCUUGUAGUGAUGGCAGUACACACAAAAUAUCCAUAAAACCCCAUGCCCACUAAAUAGCCCAAGUCCCAAACAUCAUCUUCCAAGUUCUGACCUCCCAGGGCAGGCAGCAUCCUCGUGCUUAAGUGCUUCUAGUCUUGCAGUGUAGGGCAUGAUGCUGGGAGCAGGGAUGUACUAAACAAGUACUGCUGAGCAGAAGCCGUGGGUGGAAAAGUUAGAAGCCAUUAUGGCUGACCAAUGGACCUCCUGAGGAAAGAUGGGCAUGUGGUGAGGGGCCUGAAACUAUGUUCCAUGGAGAAGAGUAGAAGAAACUGGCCUUAUUGAGCUGGGAGGAAGGUGGGAAAGAUUGAGUCCUUUGAAGAGCUUUCAGAUAACGGGGCAACGGUCAUGUGGGAGAAUUGACUUGCUCUAGAUUUUUGAGAUCAAAGCUGGGGUAAUGGUUAGAAGUUAGUGAAAAGCCUUUGCUGUGUUCAAGCCAGAACUUCUGGAGUAGUUUCUCAGUAGAACAGUUGCUGUACAGAUAGAAGUGAAGUUCUGCCACUAGAUGCCUUUGCUGCCUCUGUCCAAGAUGCUCUCUGCCAGACUCCUUUAUGAUCUUCUCUGUGAGCCCAUACUAAUCACAGCAACCGUCACCCAUGGUCAUGUUAGCAGAAGUCAUCCCCCAUAGCCUUGUUUAAAAUCUGUCCAGCAGUGUUCACCAACAUUUGUGGUCUAGAUCUGACCCCUUUUUAAUACAAAGUUUAUAAAUCUGGGAUGAUGUUUUCAUGUUGAAUGAACAUUCUAUCAAAGCAACUACUUUCAGUGUCCAUAAAUCAAAAUUCCGUGUAUUUAGAAUCACUGAAGAAGACUGGGUAUGGCCAUCUGCCUCAGGAAAGCUUCUUAGCAUGCACUGGGCCUUCUCCUUUCUCACCUGUCCAUAUAGCUAGUCUGUGUUUGUGGGUUCCUUUGUGAACAGGCAUGCCUGAGUUUUAGCCAGUACAAAUAGGAUGAAUGUGAUGUGUAUGUAUUUAGAAGCUUGUUUCAGAAAGUCUUCUCCUCAUGUUCCUUGGUAAUGCAAGGUACUUCAAGGACAUACAGAAGAACAGAGCCACAGAUAGAAGGAAGCUUGAUCUCUGAAUGGCCCCAUGGAAGGAUGUUCACUGACUAGAAGUAGUCCUGCUGGAUUCUGAAUGAGCAAUCAAUUUCACUGUGCUGGUUCACUGGAAUUUUGGAGUGAAGGCAGGUCUAAGUAGGACUCUUGGGCCAAUUAAGAACCGGAUGACCCUGCCAGGUGCACUUUCUUCAGACACUGGGUGAGGAUAAGGUGAGCUCCAGCAUCUGGCAGGUUCGCAGGCUGUAUACACAGGGUGGAAACCAUUGGCCAGCACUGCCUUAACCCUUUCCACUAACCAGCUCAUUUAAUUCUACAAUUACAGUACGAGAGAGGUCUUAUUAACAUUCCAUUUCACUAGGGGACAUGGAGGCAUGGAGAGGUUAAGUGACUAGUGUAAAGGCAUGUAGCUACAAAGUAUGAUAUUCUGGUGCCCACAGGCUAUGAGGCACUCAGUAAGGAGAUGGGGGUACAGCCAGUAGUGCACAAUUUGGGGUCACCUCCUUAGCAAACACAGAGCUUCUUCUUAUAUAGGUUUCAGUGAGCCUCAUACUGUAACACAGUCUACACAAGACACCUUGCACACAGUCGGUGCUCAGUGGUGCUAGUCUCCCUGCUUGUAUCUUUUGCUUACUUGGAGAAUGGUGAUGUCUCUGGAUGGUAUAUUUGGUCUAGUGGAGUUGUCCAAACCUGAGCUCUUUACUGCUGUGACUAGUGAACUAAGAAAUAGGCUGAACUGGCUCAUGCUCAGGUUCAGGCCUUUCAUACUAACUGCCUCUAAGACUACCCUCACUGUGGGUCCCAGAACUAAGGGCAAUUCACUGUAUUUAUCACACAAUUGUUUCUCAAACAGCCUAUGUUGACAUGGAUGGGUCAGAGUUCUCCCUUUCCUUUCCUCCCUCUUUAGACUCCUGGUCUAAUUCUUGUGGCCAGAGCUAGGAAAUGGAGACUGUAGAUUGUCUGGUAAUGCAAACAGAAGCACUCCUCAAUAUUCGCUGCUUAACUGUUCUGAUCUUUCAAGCUUGGCUUUUGCAUUUGAAAAUUCCAGUUAGAUGCAGAAAGUCAGGGUUGGGAAAGCAGCAUGGAUGGACAUCAAAACACAGUAGAUAAGAUUUUCAGGAUAAUUAAAAAAAAAAAACUUUAAUUUUCAAAAGAUAUUUAACCCUGGAGUGGUUCCAAGCACAUACCCUAAGUUCCCAUAAUUCACUGAAGCUGUAUUCUGAGGCUCAAACCUACCUUUUACCUCCCCAUAAAAAAGACCUGAUGGUGUGUGUUGUGGGGGCAGCCCUUGGGAAGCAUUCAGGAGGACCCUUUUAUGACCAUGGAGUAGGAUACUGAGGGAAGCCUUGGCCAGUUUUGUGCACAGUUUUGUAAUUGGCUGGGAGCUGUUAUGUGCCCGGUGCCUGCUUAUUUGAAAUAAACCCAAAAGCCUGUGAUACCAGUGUGUUAUGAAGGAAACAGUGGACACUCCAGACGCCCCAGGACUUUGCCUUGCACAGGGACUAACUGGCAAAGUCUGAGCUGGAGCUGGGGACCAACAGCAACUUCCAAGUCUCACAGCAUCUUCCUCCUCUUCCUGUGUUAUAGACCUCAGCCACACUGAAGGUUCAGAAGGGAUUUCAAGAUCACGUCAGCCAAGCUUUCUCGGUCUCUUGAUAACUCAAGUUGACCUAGAUAAACACCUCAUGGCCACUUUUAAUGAGUUUCAAAUUCCAAAUAAAUAUUGUGGUUCAAGCAAGCUGAAGCAAAGAUACAGCGGUUUCAGUGUUUUCUCUUUAAGCACAGGCCUCCUCAGAGCUAGGUGCCAUCCUCCAUAUUUGCCGAGAGUACCCUGAGGGAGAGGGUGCUUCUUUCCAUCUCCCUCCCAGCCCUUUGUUUCUUAGGGGGUGAAACCAGAGAGGAUGGAAUUGGUGACACAGUCCAACACCACCUGAGGUAGCCUUUACAACAUCUGUUCACCUCUCACCUGGUCACUAUUAUGCCCUACUAGCCCGGGGACCACACAGGAAUCUGAGUCUGUCACCUCUAUGUCCCAGGAUUUGUCAUCAUUCCAUGACUUUGCUCCCCUGUUUGAAAUAACCUUCUCUUCCUCCUCCACAGGUUUCUUGGUCAGCUGGAUUCACCAGAAAACUCUUUCUCAGGCUAUAUCCUAAUGAAGAGCACUGACUGAUCCUCUUGCUUAUGUCAGGCCAUCUCUCAAGCUUGCUAACCCUUUAAAAGUUGUUUACAAAUCUCUCUUAAUUGCCUAUGACACCCAUAGGUAUCCCACCAUGCACAUGUGUUAUCUCCCUUCAACUCCCCCGACUCCACACCCUGUCACACCUUCCCCUACUACACACACUCCAUACCCUCCACAUCCCACACUCCCCAAGAACACACACUCACACAUCCCUACACACCACAUGCCACACAUACCACAUACCAGACACACACCAUACCACAUAUAACACACACUCCCACAUACCUCAUACCGUAUGGCAAUACCACAUUGCCACGCUUCCACACACUGCCCCUGACAUAUUAUUUAAUUUUACUUUUUCAUGUGUUGUUUUGUGGAGAUCGGGUCUUGCCAUGUAGUUCUGGCCAGCCUGGAACUUGCUACAUAGCUCAUGGCACCCUCAAAAGUUUACUCCCUUUGGCUUCAGCCUCCAGAGUGGGCCACUGCACACAGCCAGGUUAUUUAUUUUAAUGGCUUGAGUCUUCACCCAGGCCUUAUCUUCUUAAGGGCAAUAGAGAAUUAUGCCUGGCUUCUGAGGUUGAGUGUUCUUCAGUAACUACAGGUCUCCCUGGCUCCAAGCAUUCGUCCUUAUAAUCCCUUCCCCGGAAAGGUUUGAUUUCAUAAAUACGAGGCAGAAGAAGGUAAGUUUUCUUCCUCUUUUUAACAGAAGUGGACACAGUCCCUGCAGACACUCGUACCAUGGAUUUAGCAGGGAAGCAGACAGAACAAGUAGCUUCUUUAGUGGACUUGACUUUCUCCUGGACGAGAAGCAUGGUAGAUGCGUAAGCACCAAAUACAGCAGCUCACAUAGUGAUACGUAUCACCAGAAGGACUACGGCAAGGUGAUUGGCAGGUAGAUUGGCCUCGAACUCAAUUUAAUAGCAAAGGAUGACCUUGAACUCUUGACUUCCUGCCUAUGUCUUCUACAUUCACCUCAAUUUAUCAUCACUUCAACUGUGAAAAGUUUCGGCACCCUGAUAAGCCUCUCCGCCAGUGCAACAAUCCAAAUCAGACCGAAUCAGACCGAAUUAGAAAAAGCCCUGGUUUAAUGGGUAAAGCAUUCCCAGGUGAUUCUCCACCCUCCCAGAGGGGAGAUGGAAGAGAGAUGGAAAAACCACAUGUCUGGUCUUUUUUCGGGGGGUGGGGGGCAGUUUAAAUACCCUGUGGGAGUGGUCUUGAGCUCCUCUAGGGGAGGAGCCGUGUUUGUUAGAACUUUCUGAGGGGCAGGGUCUGGGGAGAGAGGUAGGGCUUCCACCAGAACAUUCCAGACUCUUUGGGUAUAGGGGCUCCAAUUCAAGUCUGGCUACUUCCUGCAGGCAUGGGGCAAUGUGGGGAAGGGCAGAGUUGGGAAUCAGUGGGCUCACAUUCAGCAGGAGGUGCGAGUGGAGGAGCAUCUGGUUAAUUGCCAUCCUGGAGACCUUGGGCAUCUGUUUCUUGAGGAAGCAGAGAAGGAAGUUGCUGAGUUCAAUGGAGAGCUUGGUGAGCUGUUGUUUGAUGAGUCCAUUGGCCAUCUCAACCUUUCCUGAGGAUUGUGGGUGAUGGGGAAUGUGGAGCUUCGAGGAAACAUUGAGAGCUUCCGACACGAGCUCCAUGACUCUGGAAGUGAAGGCUGGCCCGUUGUCCAUUUGUAUGGUCUGUGGCAGGCCAAAUCUAGGAGUGAUGUGUUCCAGGAGUACUUGGGCCACCACAUUUGCUGUUUCUCUGCCAAUCCUCACCUGGUUGGUGUCCUCAAAGUUGGUGUGGAGCCUGAUGUAUCUGGAGGGCAUCCUGUGGAUUGGCCUUGGCACGAGUCUGGCAGGAGGGGUGGACCUGUGCGGGAACUUGUAAAUGUGUAAAACUGGAACAGAUUUAUAUCUUGAUGUCAUAGCAAAAGGCUAUCCUGUAUGGAGUCUGUGAAUGAGGCCUUGGGGGCUGGGGAAGAGCUGUAAACCUGACAAGUCUAUUAAUGCCUGGUAAUCAAACACCAUCAGAUCUGAGAAGGAUAGGUAAAUGAGCAGAGGUGAGACAGCUUUUCAGCUGGCAGUCCCAAGUCUCUCUGUGGUUGUUGGGGAACAGAAGCUAAGCCCAGAAAGUCUGAUAGGUUUUUUCUUUUUCUUUUUCUUUUCUUUUCUUUUUUUUUUUUUUUUGUGGAGUAGGAAUUUGGAGAGAUUGGCCCACCUUGACCUUGCAGCAUGGGGCAAUCGAUGCCCCGUUGCUUCAUUUAUUCACAGCCUGGACAGGGUCUCAGCAGCAGUCUAAGGCAGCCUUUUGCUGCAUGGCCGGCCUUGUCACACCUGAAGCAAUCCUCCAGGUGGAAGUUCUUCUGCGUCCAUCUGUCUUCUUGGAGGAGAUACAGGAUGCUGCCAGGAGCUGACAUGUCUCUCUAUCAUAAAAAGCUUUUAUAUUAAAUGUCAUAUUCUCAGAUCUCUCAAGGUGUUUGAGGACUAGGGGCCAGGGGAAUGACAAAAUCUGUUAGGUGUAUCAUCAGAUUCCCCAAAGCCCACAGGCGGAUGGAUCCUGAGCCUGGGCAGCUAGUUGUAAUUACAAUCAGCUGAGCUAUAACCAAGACACACAGGACACGCAAAUCCAGACAUCCAAGACAAGUUAAAACAAGCAUGAGUGGCCACACAUUUAUACAUUUCCACGCGUACACAGAAAGAAGACAGAAUUUUUAACAAAAAUAAAAACUUUUAACAGGAAGACUACAAACUUUUCCCGGGAAACCGUGUCAAAUGACCAACUUAAAAUCCUUAAAUGAGAGUUUACGGUAUAAAGUGGCACAGGGAUAAAAUAUGCUUCCUGGCCGUGAUGCAGCUCCCAUCAGGCUGGGGCAGCCCACUGCCCAAAGAAGGUACUGUGAAGGGAAAGUGAGUCGGAACAGCAAGGUGAGAAUUUUGGGAAAAGCAGUUUUUAGGAGAGGGGAAGGUGUGGCAGGGCAUAUUGAAGGAGAACGUAUUUAAGGGCGGACCGGGCAGUCACAGAAGGGUCACAGAAAAAGGGUCACAUGGCAAAUAUGACUACCAGGCAUUAAGUGCCCUGGAGGCAUGGUCUUGAGCAGCCCCAGGGAGGGGCUGGCUUUUGGUGGGCUUUGAGGGGGCGGGGCCUGGAAUGGGAGGGCAGCUGUAGGGGAAGGGGCUGCUGUUUGGCCGGCUUUGAGGAGGUGCGUUUGGGCAGAGGUGGGGCUUCUACCAGAACAAACUGGUUAAUCAGUCUUUGGUCCUGUGUCCCUCCCCAUUUCCCUUGCUUCUCCUCUUCCCUUCUUUUCCCUCGCCCUUCCCUCCCUCCUCCCUCCCUCCCUCCCUUCCUUCUCCCUGUGUAUCUCAUUAUGUAGCUCAGGCUGGCCUCAAACUUGAGCUGCUCCUGCCGCUGUCUCUUAAGUGCGGGGAUUUCAGCAUGCAGCACCACAGCAAGUGAGAAAUAGGUUUUCAUACCAGGAUUUGGUGGUGGCACUAACGGGGAAUCAGAGCUACUGGAGGGGGUUGACUUUGAUGAGCAGGACACGUCUAAGUGUUCGGCAGCCCGGCGUAAGUUUGCUGCUGAAAGAGUAAGUGAAUGAUUCCCCAUGCCCCUCUACCAGAGAGGGUGCUGUGUGCCCCUUUUGAGGCCCGAGUUCCGUCCCUCUUUCUUGUGUCCACCUUGCCCUCUCUGAAUUCUGAUCCUCUAUCUGUGAGGCAGAGGUCCACGCGUACCCCACCUCCUCCCCUGGGUUGUGUUCCAGCCAGUAGGACGCUGGGCACUCACAGCUGUUUGUUGUGUGAGCCACAUGAGUGCAGGUGGCAAGGCCACACCAGACCACAGCUGACUGGUGUGACCUCAGGAAGUAGUGUCACUUCACUGAAGCUUCUACUUUUCAUCUGGAAGUGGAGAUGACCUUGCCCUUCCAAACAAGUAAACAUUUGAGAGCGGGGAUGAAAGCCGUCCUAUAAAGUACGAAGAGAAAGGGACGGCAGUACUGUUUUCUUCUUCCUUGUCUCUCGGUCAUUAGUCUAUCUCUUGUCCCCUAGAAGACCACUGGGGUUCUUAUGGGUGCCGCACAUGCUGUUUCUCGUGAAUGCUCCUGCCCUUCCUGGCAGCCAUUAGGCUCACACGUCGCUGUCCUCAUUGGAAAUGCCUUAGCACAAAGAAGCACUAGGAAAACUGAGGCCCAGGCCUGUGUGAGCAGCCUCACAUCCCGUGUCAGCUUUUGCGCGAUUCCCAGAACAGCAUGUCCACUCAGAACCUGGGGCUGGCACAGCCACACAUCCUUUUCAGGAGAGCACAGCCUCGAGGCAGGAGGAACUCAGGGUGACUCAGCUUCACAUGUGACAAACAGCCUGUGAAGUAAAACAGACCAGCGCUCCGGCACGGCUGCCUUCAGAUCCCAGGGAGGAAGGGGUGGCAUGAGAAGAAAUGGACAGCGUUGAACUCACGCCUCAUGUCGGUAAUACAUACCAAAUGCUUGCUCUGCUGCUGAGACCUUACCACAAACUCCUGAGUCUACAGUGGUCAGAGAGGUUAGGCAUUUCACCCAGGGUUACACAGGAGAUAGGAGCCAGCAGAGCAGGGAUCUGAGCAGAGGCCUCUAGUUUAGAAGCCCUUAUUCUUUCCUAACCACGUGUCAGGAAAAAAAAAUAUCCUUUCCCCAACCCCCACUUCCUGUGCAUGAUUCAAACGAAACAAAACCUGACCCAUUGAAUUUUGUUUUACUUUUCAAAGUUUGGAACAGAUAAUACCCCUAGAUCCUUUUACCAUCUGCACCCAGGUGGACAGUUCCUGUCCUCCCACCCUUGGUUUGGGACUGGCUCGUGGAUAGGAGAUGUGUGUGCAGGGGGUGCUGGGACAUGAGAGUAGACAGUACUGCCUUACAGGGCAGCGGAAAGGCUGCUUAGCAGAGUCACUUCCAUGGCUCUGUCCAGCACCGAAGUCAAAGCCACAACCUACCCUGGUUUUGGGGUCAAGGGUUGGGAACACCACUCUUAGGGAACACUCAGAGGAGAUGUGGCCUGGCAGGAAGCACAGGGCCAUGCCAAACAGGAAAGGGGAGGGCGGGCCUGUGAGGCACAGAGACGUCACCAGGAUGCAUGCCAAAGCUAGGCGGGCUUAAAUACUGGGGCAGAGCUGCUGGGCACAUGACUCUGUUGAAAAUCUCCCAGGGAAUGACUUCUAAUCCCUGCCUUAUUGAAGGGUUUGAGGAAGGCUCCAGCCUGCCGACUGCUGGUCUGGGCUGUGGGGGGAAUCCUGGGCUGGCACAUCGCCACAAGGACAUUUUUCAGGGAAAGCCUUUGGCCCAAUAAGUCUGUUUUCUCUUUUCUUUGGAAACUAGGAUUUGGAAUCUGUUCAGGAAAAAUGUAACCUACAAACAAAUAGCCUUGGCCAUCUGUGCCUCCCUUGGAGCGAGGUCAAAGCCGGGGAGAGCUCAGCCUCUCUGGGCUCUAACUACAGGCCAUCCCUUUGGAGUCAGUUUCUGGCUGUCCUAAAAUAAUGUCUCCUCUCCAUGCCUCUCCCUCAGUGCUGCUUAUGCCCCAAGUCUUUGCCAGUGCUCCUAUGAUAUUAGAAGAAUAUUCCACCCCCACAGGCUGUGUAUACUUGUCUAUCAUCGUCUCUCCCUCAGAGCUCAUUUCUCAAGAGAUCAGUUGCUUCUCCUCAGCAUUACUCUAGGUAAUUUCAAUAUAAAGUAUUCUUUCCUUUUUUUCUGUGGGUGAGAACCCCUGAUCUUAUUUUUUAAGGAUAUAGUCAAGGUAUCUGCCAAUGCUUAAGCUCUGGCUGUGAGCUAAGUGGUGGGGUGUAUCAUGCUCCUCACUGCAUAGCAAAGCGUUUAAGACAGAACCUGGUGCAUAGUAAAUGCUCAACAAAUGUUGCUUAAUAUCCUUCUUAAUUACCUCAAUUUUGUCAUAGCACUCACAGCAGGUAUGAUUUGUCUUGUGUGUUACGGUUACGGCGUGACAAAUCUGUGGACUUCUUGAGGGCAGGGAUUGUGUGUUUACUCUCUAGUGUCUCCAAAGGGAAUUCCACGGGUGUCAAUCUGGUCAUUCAAGUUGGCGAUGAAGUGCGGAGACUUGCGUCUAGAGUUCCUAAAUCAAUUUAGAGUCACUGUAGCCUAAAGAAUAGAGAAGGAGGACAAGACCACAGAAGAUCUUGGCUUGCUUCUACUUCAGCUGUCUGCUUGUUUUAUGACCUUGGAAAGAUUAAUCUUUUUUGAACCCUAAACACCCAUUUUCCGAAUGCAAAUAAUGGUCUUGCUUGUCUUCUUUACAGAUCUUCUGUGGGCAUCCGUGAGCAUGCACAGAGGGUAGGCUGAGCUGGCCACUGUCUCACCCGUGUGCUGAUUUUUCUUUGACUCGUCUCGGAGCCCCUUGCUGUCACCACUGCUGUGAUUUAAAGAGAAAAAGGUCCCUUGUUGGCGCUUGUGUUGGAGCAGUUGGUCCCCAGCUGGUGGAGCUAUUUGGAAAGGUCAUGGAACCUUGAGGAGGCAGUCUUGUUGGAGUAGUAGUCACAGGGGUGAGCCUUGAGGGUGGGUAGCCUGGCCCCACUUCCUGUCUGUUCUCUGAAUCCUGACUGUAGAUCAGUGUGACUAUCUGCCUCAUGGUCUUGCUGCCAGGCCUUCCCUGCUGUGAUGGACUGAGUCCCUUUUUCUACUGGGAGCCAGAAGAAACUAUUCCUUCCUUACGUUGCUGUUCCCACAGCAACUGGAAAAGUAAACCGUACAUCGACUACACUUGUCAGAACAUGAGCUGUGUGUGUGUGCUGUGGUGGGUAGACAUGUCAGCCUGACAUUUGUUACUGCUUCCUGUGGUCCAAAUGUGUAUUUCUUAAAUUUGAGGAUAUUCAAAUCAUGCAUCUCGGGUGUUGACUUUAACCUUUGAAAGUUUAUUUUGACUGUGCCGCUGUCCAGCUUUAAACCUGAGACCUAAUAUUUUGGAGUACACUUUCAUAAGUAUCCUGUAAAAUGUGGUAUCAAACACUCAUGGCGCUUGAUGCUUGUUGUUAUAUGAUUAAAGAAGGGAGAAGUGAGGGUUAUCUGAAGGUGUAGAAAGAAGUAUGUGACAUGAUCUUAACUCUGAAGGAGUUUACAGUAUGGUUUCUUAGCCAGAGCCAAAUUCUAGACUAGUAGACAAAGCACAUGAUACAAAAAGUGUGGUUUGUGAAGACUUUACAGAGAAAUGGGCUUUGUAUUAAACCUUAAAAAAGACUGAUGCUUACUCUGGAAUCCUGGGAACAUAAUUCAAAAGCCAAGGUCAAUGCUGUUGGACAGUGCUGAUAACAAAGAUAUGGGUAGGAUUUUUUUUAACUUCUGAGUAUAACACACUCAGAUAUUUUAGUAAUGUAACCAUUUAAAAAAAUAUCUGAAUCUCAAAAGCUGCUGCCAUUCUGGGAUUGCUGCUUUCACAAUAAGAAUAUAUAUAUAUAAAAUCAGCCAUGAUAUAUUUUGCCUAAAAGAUGCCAUAGAGAAGGCUGUUUGCUGAAACUUUUAAUUUUUAUAGCUUCUGCAUAAUGAUAACACAUUUCUAGAUCAGUUAGACCAAGGUAUAAUGUGAGGUAGUACACUAAUAGUAACUCAGAAAAAAAUAUAAAAAUAUGCAAUUGUAAACCAUUUAAUAAACUGAAAAUGAAAGUACCUGAUAUGAAAACAGAAUACAGCCACUGUCAUAGUCAAAAGUCAAUUCAUAGCCUUUGUGUUUACACCUAAAAAUUAAGAUGAAUGAGAUGUAAACGACUAAAUAUCUAACCAAGGAAUUUAGAAAACUAGAUGCAAAAUAAAACCCAGACAAGCUGGAAAACAAAACCAAAAAUGCACAAGGUUAAAAACCUAAUUAGAAAACCACUAACAUCAUAGAAUUCAUAGAGAAUGCAUAGGGAAACAAAAUAGAACCCUCUAGAAAACUGGCUCAACAACAAUGGGGGGGGGCAGGGAGCAAGCAAGCAUCAAAUAAUUGAUGUCUGAGAAGUUUGUAAAAUUCCCUGCUCCUUACCACUCUUGGUCACUAAACUGAUUCUGUGUGCCUCAUCUUUGUGUUUCUAUUUUUUUCUAGUGAUCAAACUGAGGAUCUGAGGACCCAGGUUACUUUUUGAUGCCAUACAACCAGAUGAAUGUACAUGAGGAAGAGUCAAGAUGUGAUACACCUGUACUGACCUACGAGAGGCAGCAAGUUGCCACAAGCCGGAAGACUUACAACCGUGAAAUCUGUUCUCCCAGUUCUGGAGACUAAAAGUCUGAAGUCAAGAGCUUGGCUGGAUUUGGAGUCACCUAUGUGUCUCUCUGAGAGUGUUCCCAGAGGAGUGCCACUGAGGAAGGAAGACCCACCCUCCCAUGGCACCAUCCUAUGGGCUGGGGUCCUGGAACUAUGUGUAAGCACUCGUUAUGCUGCUUCCUCGCACUCUCGCUGCCAUGCCUUCCCUGCCCUCGCGACCUGUAUCUUUUCUUGAACUGACCAAGAAAUGCGUUCUUCAAGUUGAUUUUGUCGGGGAUUUGGUCACGGCAACAAGAAAGGUCCCUGAAGUCACCCCCUGCGUCUUCAUCUCGUCUCUCCUCUGUGUUAGUCUCCUCUGUUUUCUCCACUUGCAAGAUGGAUUCGUGCCCUCAGCCUAGAGAGCCUUAGCUUACAUCUGGAGUAGCUAUUUAUGUAAUAUUAUAGUCUGAGUUUCCAAGUGGAUAUAAAAUUUUGAGAGAUGCUAUUUAACUGCAAAUUAAAUAAAGGUAAAUGUCUUGACUUCUA